rnacentral:rRNA from 1 species
UACGUAGGGGGCAAGCGUUGUCCGGAUUUAUUGGGCGUAAAGAGCGUGUAGGCGGCCAGGUAGGUCGGCUGUGAAAACUCGAGGCUUAACCUCGAGCUGUCGGCGGAAACCAUCUGGCUAGAGUCCGGAAGAGGAGAAUGGAAUUCCCGGUGUAGCGGUGAAAUGCGCAGAUAUCGGGAAGAACACCCGUGGCGAAGGCGGUUCUCUGGGACGGUACUGACGCUGAGACGCGAAAGCGUGGGGAGCGAACAGG